rnacentral:sRNA from 1 species
UUUGGGUUCUCAGAAGUUCUCAGAAGACUCCUUCUCACUAUGGGGAUGCACCUCCUACCCCACAGCCAAAGUGCGCUGACUUCCAGAGCGCCAACCUUUUUGAAGGCACCGAUCUCAAAGUCCAGUUUCUCCUCUUUGUCCCUUCGAAUCCUAGCUGUGGGCAGCUAGUAGAAGGAAGCAGUGACCUCCAAAACUCUGGGUUCAAUGCCACUCUGGGAACCAAACUAAUUAUCCAUGGAUUCAGGUGGGAGUUAAAUAACCAACAGGACCUCUCAACUAAGAAUGAUCAAGUAACCAUAAUACCAUAAGAAGUUAGUGGGCAACAAGAGGAGGAAUGAAUUUACCAAUGGCCACAUGUUCCAUCCC